rnacentral:lncRNA from 1 species
AAGAGUAAAUUUAACCAAUAAUCACUGAACUUUACACUUGAUUACUACUUGCUCACUCAUCUUUCACAUAUUACUGAAUGCUCACUCAUCUUUUCAUAUAAUUACUCAUUCAUCACUCGUCUCUUCAAAUAAUUGGGCGACUUGUACGACAAAUUUUCGACAACUUCCGACCACAAAGAAUGUCAAAUUUUGAUACCGUUGGAAAGCCUACGAUGUCCUCUUCAAUUACCACCCAAAAUCUCAUUAUAACUCCAAGGGAUUCAAUCGAAA